rnacentral:tRNA from 1 species
CAGGGAGACAACAAAAUGUUUAAUAUUAUUAUUUUGUCACCUUAGGUCGAUCGGUAUCUCACGUUUUUAAUUUAUUAAGAAUUUCAUUUCCUAAGUUUUUCUAGGUCACACCCAUUAUUUUUCCUGGGCCAUUAGCUCAGGUGGUUAGAGCGCACCCCUGAUAAGGGUGAGGUCCCUGGUUCAAGUCCAGGAUGGCCCAUAUCUCUAUGUUGGGGGUAUAGCUCAGUUGGUAGAGCGCCUGCUUUGCAAGCAGGAUGUCAGCGGUUCGAGUCCGCUUACCUCCACUGAUUACCACCUCUUCCAUAACCGAUAGAAAGGAAAUGUUUUGAGUUGUGAUCAAAUUCUGAAAGAAUCUAGCUUCCUAAUGAAAUCAUUAAGAUGCUGGACUCAUUGAAUUAAUUUCAUUGUUUUCAGAGAACCUUGACAACUGCAUAGAUUAUUUUUUAAAGACAAUAAGCAUCUUUAAUGAUGCAGAUUUAUUAUUUGUGCGAAUGCAUUAAUAACAAUUCUAUUAAGCUGAUGCUUCAAAUUUUGAAGUUAUU